UACGUACUGUGCGAACGUUAUUCGGAAUCACUGGGCUUAAAGGGUGCGCAGGCGGCUGAUUAAGUAGGAUGUGAAAUGUUCCGGCUCAACCGGGACGCUGCGUUCUAAACUGGUCAGCUCGAGUGAGAUAGGGGUGUGCGGAACUUCCAGUGGAGCGGUGAAAUGUGUUGAGAUUGGAAGGAACACCGGUGGCGAAAGCGGCACACUGGGUCUCUACUGACGCUGAGGCACGAAAGCCAGGGGAGCGAACGGG
rnacentral:misc_RNA from 1 species